CCUGGUUCAUCUUGCCAGUAGUCAUAUGAUUGUCUCAAAUAUCAAAACAUGCAUGUGUAAGUAUGAACUAAUUCAGACUGUGAAACUGUGAAUGGCUGAUUAAAUCAGUUAUAGUUUAUUUGAUGGUAUCUACUACUCGGAUAAGUGUAGUAAUUCUAGAACUAAUACGUGCAACAAACCUCGACUUAUAGAAGGGAUGCAUUUAUUAGAUAAAAGGUCGAUGCAGGCUCUGCCUAUUUCUUUGAUGAUUUAUGAUAACUCGUCGGAUCGAACGACCUUUGUGCCGGCGACGCAUCAUUCAAAUUUCUGCCCUAUCAACUUUCGAUGGUAGGAUAGUGGCCUACCAUGGUGGUGACGGGUGACGGAGAAUUAGGGUUCGAUUCCGGAGAGGGAGCUGAGAAACUUCUACCACAUCCAUGGAAGACAACAGGCGCGCAAAUUACCCAAUCUUGACACGGGGAAGUAGUGACAAUAAAAAAUAAUACCAGGCUCAUUGAGUCCUGUAAUUGGAAUGAGUACAAUCUAAAUCCCAUAAUGAGGAUCCACUGGAGGGCAAGUCUGGUGCUAGUAGCCACGGUAAUUCCAGCUCCAAUAGCGUAUAUUUAAGUUGUUGCAAUUAAAAAGCUCAUAGUUGGACCUUGGGUUAGGUCGAUCGGUCCACCAUUGGUGUGCACCAGCCGACUCAUCCCUUCUUCCGGCGAUGAGCUCCUAGCCUUAACUAGACGGGUCUUGCCUCCAACACUGUUACUUUGAAGAAAUUAGAAUGCUCAAAGCAAGCCUACACACUGGAUACAUUAACAUGGGAUAACACGACAUGAUUCUGAUCCUAUUGUGUUGGCCUUCGGGAUCGGAGUAAUGAUUAACAGGGACAGUUGGGGGCAUAAGUAUUUCAUAGUCAGAGGUGAAAUUCUUGGAUUUAUGAAAGAUGAACAACUGCGAAAGCAUUUGCCAAGGAUGUUUUCAUUAAUCAAGAACGAAAGUUGGGGGCUCGAAGACGAUCAGAUACCGUCCUAGUCUCAACCAUAAACAAAGCCGACCAGGGAUCAACUGAUGUUGGUUUUAAGACUCCGAUGGAACCUUAUGAGAAAUCAAAGUCUUUGGGUUCCGGGGGGAGUAUGGUCGCAAUGAUAAAACUUAAAGGAAUUGACGGAUGGGCACCACUAGGAAUGGAGCCUGCUGCUUAAUUUGACUCAACACGGGGAAACUUACCAGGUCCAGACAUAGUAAGGAUUGACAGACUGAGAGUUCUUUCUUGAUUCUAUAGGUGGUGGUGCAUGGCCAUUCUUAGUUGUCCCACGGAAAUAUGUGCGCACCUCGGGAAGUAUGUGCACACCUAGGCCUAUUUGUUGCCUAUGAGACCCUUUUCACCAUGGAAGGAAGUGGUGUUAGGUUAUUCCCAAAUGGCUGAGCCGCACAACGUAGAGGGGUGUGCCUGUUCAUCGGAAGUGCGUUGUGGGAGGAUUUGGCAGUCAGAUAAAUCUUGAACCUUGAUCCCUAUCGCUUUUGGCGGUUACCUUUUCUGUUCGCGCCCAACGUAGCGGAUCCGACGACACCAUGUGUUUCCAUUUGCUUGCCUGCCAUUGGCACUGCGGGGAGUGGUUCAUAUGGUACCGUCGAGUCUGUCUAACGGGAGGGCGCGUGAGUGGUAAUUGGGAUGUUUGUGCCGUCUUGCUCUAUGAUCAUGG
rnacentral:rRNA from 1 species